AAUAAACGCUGGCGGCGUGCCUAACACAUGCAAGUCGAACGAGAAAGCCGCAAGGCUAAGUACAGUGGCGCACGGGUGAGUAACACGUGGGAAUCUACCCCUUGUGAAGGAUACCUUGGAGAAAUCCAGGCUAAUACUGCAUAAGCCCAGAAAUGGGGAAAGGUGGCCUCAAGCUACCGCGGAGGGAUGAGCCUGCGUCCUAUUAGUUAGUUGGUAGGGUAAUGGCCUACCAAGACAGAGAUGGGUAGCCGGCCUGAGAGGGUGUUCGGCCACACUGGAACUGAAACACGGUCCAGACACCUACGGGUGGCAG
rnacentral:rRNA from 1 species